rnacentral:tRNA from 1 species
GGGCUUAUAGGUAAAUGGUAUACCACAGCCUUCGCAUGGCUGAAUUCCGGGUCCGAUUCCCGGUAAGUCCA